GAAGAAACCAGCAGCGCCUAUCGUUGCAUCCGCUGGCCGCCUGGGAGGUGAAAUAAUGGGCUCUGGUUCACUGCCCACGCGGCCUUCUCCGUCGGCGUUCUCGCGGCCGUUGCCCAUCCCCGGCCGCGCGCGCCCUACUCGCCUCCGCAGCCUCACCACAGGCAAGCUCAGGGCCUUUUCCAUCAAACCAAGUCAUAGUGGUCUGAGCGAAGUAUCUGUACAGAGCCUUCCUGAUACUGAAGUUACCGGUGCUGCUUACAGCUUCACAGGAGCAACGACAUCACUUACCAACAAGAUUCUAACCUCGUCCAAGAAGAUUACUCUUGUUAGACAUGGCUUGAGCUCAUGGAAUGCAGAAAGCCGUGUUCAGGGAAGCUCAAAUCUGUCGGUGUUAACAGAAACCGGUGCCAAGCAGGCAGAGAAAUGCCGUGAUGCUCUUGCGAACAUGAAGUUUGACGUUUGCUUCUCUAGUCCGAUCUCACGAGCAAAGUCAACUGCCGAAAUUAUUUGGCAAGGGAAGGAAGAACCCCUUGUUUUUCUCGAUUCACUGAAGGAGGCACACCUCUUCUUUUUAGAGGGCAUGACCAAUGCGGAUGCUAAGGAGCAAUAUCCAGAGUUGUACACCAAAUGGAGGGAGGACCCUGCACACUUUCAUGUUAAUGGCAUAUACCCGAUCAGGGAGUUGUGGGGAACAGCAAGACAAGCGUGGGAGCAGAUCUUGCUCACUCCGGGUUUUCGCACAGGGUGAAAACUUGUUGGUGGUGACGCACAAAUCUAUUUUGCGUGCACUCAUCUGCACAGCACUAGGUCUCCCUCCUGAGAGGUUCCGUGCCAUUGAUGUAAACAAUGGUGGCAUGUGUGUCUUCACGGUCAACAGACAAGGAGAAGCUAUGCUUCAAGCCCUCAAUAUGACCGCACACAUGUACAGUGAUCACACCUAUCAGUACUAGUUAGUUUAAAUUUCCCCACUCUGCAUUGUAUUAUAUAUUUCCUGCAUACCCUGCAUACUACGUACACUUCCAUUAGACAAGUAGUCAUUCUUGAAAUGAUUUUGGUAAACGUGAUCGAUCUUAGUGCUCAUAAUUAAGAUGUGAUUGUCCAUGUGAAUAUAAACUGAAUCGUGCUAAGUCAUUCAACCUGCUUUGCGGAGCUGUGAAUCGCCAUCUACAAUGUGCUUGCUCAAA